rnacentral:rRNA from 1 species
GUGCCAGCAGCCGCGGUAAUACGUAGGGGGCAAGCGUUGUCCGGAUUUACUGGGUGUAAAGGGUGCUCAGGUGGUUGCGCAAGUCAGAGGUGAAAUCCUAGAGCUUAACUCUGGAACUGCCUUUGAUACUGUGCGGCUUGUGUACGGAAGAGGCUGAUGGAAUUCCUGGUGUAGCAGUGAAAUGCGUAGAUAUCAGGAAGAACACCAGUGGCGAAGGCGGUCAGCUGGUCCGUUACAGACACUAAAGCACGAAAGCGUGGGGAGCAAACAGGAUUAGAAACCCCGGUAGUCC